GGAGGUGUAGCUUAAAAUUACCAAUGCCUAUGAUUUGAGCACUUGCGUCUAGCAAGGCUAUCAGGGUUCGAAUCCCUGCAUCUCCA